GACGAACGCUGGCGGCGUGCUUAACACAUGCAAGUAGAACGGAAAGGCCAUGCUUUUGUGUGGUACUCCAUUGGCGAACGGGUGCGUAACACGUGAUUACCCUUCCCUUGACUUUGGGAUAACUUCAGGAAACUAUGGCUAAUACCGGAUAGGAGCUCAUACUACAUAGUAUGGGUUGGAAAUUUUCGGCGGUUUGGGAUGGACUCGCGGCUUAUUAGCUUGUUGGUGGGGUAGUGGCUUACCAAGGCUUUGGCGGGUAGCCGGCCUGAGAGGGUGACCGGCCACAUUGGGACUGAGAUACGGCCAAGACUCCUACGGGAGCCAGCAGUGGGGAAUAUUGCACAAUGGGCGGAAGCCUGAUGCAGCAACGCCGCGUGCUGGAUGACGGCCUUAGGGUUGUAAACCGUUUUCGCCUGUGACGAAGCGUGAGUGACGGUAAUGGGUAAAGAAGCACCGGCUAACUACGUG
rnacentral:rRNA from 1 species